GCUGAAACCAGGACACUGUUUUCUCACUUUUACCCUUCCAGUUCUCUUCCCCACAUCCUGCUGUGGCAGGGAGUGAGUGAGCAGCUGUGUGGUGCUUAGUUGCUAACUGGGGU